rnacentral:rRNA from 1 species
CACGUACCGUACGAACGUUAUUCGGAAUUACUGGGCUUAAAGGGUUUGUAGGCGGCCAUGUAAGUCAGGUGUGAAAUCCCUCGGCUCAACCGAGGAACGGCGCUUGAUACUGCAUGGCUUGAGGGAGACAGGGGUAAGCGGAACUGAUGGUGGAGCGGUGAAAUGCGUUGAUAUCAUCAGGAACACCGGUGGCGAAAGCGGCUUACUGGGUCUCUUCUGACGCUGAGGCACGAAAGCUAGGGUAGCGAACGGG